GGGAAAUAAACCUUUUACCUGCACCAGUUCUGCCUCCUGCCUGCAUUUGGGUCCUCACCUCCGCCGCCAUUCGUGACAGUAGGAUCUGAACACAACUGGACCCAGCAGGCGGUAAGAUGACC